rnacentral:rRNA from 1 species
ACCCAAUAGAUACCCGGGUAGUCCACGCCGUAAACGAUGGGUACUAGGUGCCCUGGGGGAGCGACCCCUGGGUGCCGGCGCUAAACGCAGGAAAGUACCCCGCCUGGGGAGUACGACCGCAAGGUUGAAACUCAAAGGAAUUGACGGGGGCCCGCACAAGUGGUGGGAGCAUGUGGUUUAAUUCGACGCAACGCGAAGAACCUUACCUAGGCUUGACAUGCAUGGGAAACUCCUCAGAAACGAGGAGCCUCCUUCGGGAUCCAUGCACAGGUGCUGCAUGGCUGUCGUCAGCUCGUGUCGUGAGAUGUUGGGUUAACGUCCCGCAACGAGCGCAACCCCUUGUUCUUAGUUGCCAGCGCGUAAU